GUAUGUGUAAGAUAUUUGUCACUUGUAAGAGAGGAAGUGACUAGAGAGUACCAAGAAAGAGUUGCUGAACUCAGAGAUUAAAAUCAAGCUGAGGAGCUAGAACUUCUUUCUACAGUGAAAUGCUGCUCCUGGAACUGACAUUUUUUGCAAUUCUCUUCCCAAUUGGUGACACUCAGGAUGUAAAACCCAAGGCAUGGUUGUCCAGUGAUUCCGCUCAUGAGCCUAGCCAUCUGCAGCUGGUGUGUCAUGUCUCUGGAUUCUACCCAAAGCCUGUGUGAGAUGUGGAUGUGAGAUGAGCAGGAGCUGCCUGAAACUCAGAGAGGUGACAUCCUGCCCAAUGCUGAUGACACAUGGUAUCUCCGAAUGACCCUGGAUGUGGUGACUGAGGAAGCCACUGGUCUGUCUUGCCAAGUGAAACACAGCAGUCUAGGAAGACAGGAUAUUGUCUUCUACUGGGGCCAUAUGAAGACAUCUUCUGAGACCUCAUGAUGUCAUGUUUAGCGAUUGGAUUUCACAUUGAGAAGUCCAGAGUUAGUUGUUAACACAGCAAUCAAUUUUGUUAUAUUUUAUAAAAUAACUACUACUUUUAAUUAACAAUGUUUCUGUAGAUUGUAAGAUAAACCACAAUAUAUAUCAAUACAAAAUGAAGAACUUAUUUUGAAAUGGUAUCAAAAGUAGUUCCACCCAGAUGUCAUAAUUUAUCAGAUAUAUUCCCUGCAGUCCUUAAAAUGACAAGGUGUUUUAUCUUUUUUAUUUUGUUGAUUUUUAUUUAUUUUCAAGUGGCAAACUGAAAUUACAGUACCAUAUCUUAUUUAUCUUGUUGAGGAUGCAUGUAGGUAGACUCAGUUUGUGAAUAUUUUGUUUAGGGCUAGGGAUUUUUGCCAUGAUCUUGUCAGGUAUUAAUAUUAAGGAAGUUUUGCCAAAUAAAAUACGUUGAAAAAUGUUCCCUCCAUUUUGUCCCUGGAGUAAGCAGAAAUAUACACUUUUGUUGUUGCAAUGAUUUGACAGAAGAGUUUUUAAAUAAAGUUUUAACUUUUAUAGACUAUUUACAAAAAUAAGUGUACCUCUAUUCACAUAAUCCAUUUGGAUAAGAAAUUUUUGUCAGCAUAGUAAUUUGUAGUUUUUGUACAUUUUUCAAGUUAUCCAAAUUACCCAGUUUAUUACUAAUAGCUGGUUCAUGUUUUAUGAUCUUGUCAAUGUCUGUGAUACUUUUCGUGUGCAAUUUUUUAAACUGGUAUUGAAAAUUUGUUUUCCAUCUCUUGUUCCUUUUUUUUUUUGAUACUAGGGAUCAAACUCAUGACCUCAUGCUCACCCUUAUGCCUCUGAUCUAAAUCCCCAGCCCUCCUCUUUUUUAUUCUUCCUUUUUUUUUUUUCUUGGUAAUGGGAAUCAAUUCCAGGCUUCAUGUGAGGCAAGGACUCUAUCACUGCACUACACUACCACCCUACUCUUAUUCUUUGUCUCACUGUGACAAGAAUUUUAUAAAUUCCUAAAGUUUUUCAAAGAACUAACUUUUGACCACGUUGGGCCUGUCAUAUUAUAUUAUUAUUAUUUUCUCUCUGUUCCUUAGACAUUACUUUUAUAUUUCUUUCACCACUUUCUUUUUUCACUUUUUUUGUCUUCUUUCUUUUUGUUAUUUUGAGAUAACAUCUUGCUACUCCAGACUGGCCUUGAAUUUGCUUUACACCCCAGGCUGGCCUCAAAUUCAAAGCUGUGUACUUGCACCAGCCUCCCUAUUGCUGGGAUAAGAGACGAGGCCCACAAUGCUGACUAAUAUUUCUGAUUUGUUAAUGUAGAUUCUUCAGUAACUUAAUUUUAGCUGUUAUUUUCCUGUCGGAGGUUUUAAGAUUUAAAAGGUUCAUUAAACAUGGUUUUAGUGCAUAUCUAAAAUUUUGGUCUGUUGCAUUACCUUUGUUCAUGUAUUUUCUAGUUUCCACUUUUUAGCAUGUUAGGUAUCUAGAAUUUGCUCUUCAGAACUUGUGUACAUGAGGAAUUUUCUGGUUAUCUUUUAAUCAUUAAUUUUUGAAAAUUGUGAUUGCAUGUGUCUGAGAAAAUAUUUCAUUGUGUUCAGGCUUUUGAAGUUUAUUUAUAUUGCUUUAUGGGAAAACAUAUUAGGUUUUAAAUGAAUGUUUCACAUUCACUUAGAAAGAGUAUGUUUCUCUUUGAAAAAUUCUGAGUUUUAAGUAUAUCAUGAAGUCAUGCUGUU